GAUCCAACAUGGCGGCUCUAGUGUCGACAAUACGGUGUGAAGAAUCRUAAGAUACUGGUAUAUUUUUGGGGAACAAUGAUGGAAUGUCUAGCGAAAAGGCUUCUCAUCAAUAAAACUAAAGAAAAAAUAUUGUCAAGUCCUCAAGAAUUUGCUUUACAUUGGCUGCAUGGUUACUGGUGAUUGAGUUAUAAUUGACUCAAGAAAUUGGAAAUUGUGUUUUCUUUACCUCAAGACCAGCCUCAGGAACAAGUACUAAUAUUUGGCUUAAACUCCUAUUAUAGUUUUCUUUGCAUGUAUCAUUUAUUGUUGAAUAAAUAUCUUGUCCUACUUCUCUGAGUUUUUUCUUUGUGAUUCUUUUUGUUGGAAUUUUCUUCACUUUUGAAAUGUUUGUGCUUAUGUCCUGUAAUAUACCUCUGUUGCACUUUCUAUUAAACUAGAU